CAAUAGCGUAUAUUAAAGUUGUUGCAGUUAAAAAGCUCGUAGUUGGAUUUCUGGUGGGAGCGAUCGGUCUGGCGCUUAGCGCGAGUACUUGCAUCGUCUCCGGCCAUCCUUGGGGAGAGUCUGUCUGGCAUUAGGUUGUCGGGCAGAGGAUCCUCAUCGUUUACUGUGAAAAAAUUAGAGUGUUCAAAGCAGGCUUAUGCCGUUGAAUAUAUUAGCAUGGAAUAAUAAGAUAGGACUUUGGUACUAUUUUGUUGGUUUGCGCACCAAAGUAAUGAUUAAUAGGGACAGUUGGGGGUAUUCGUAUUCCGUUGUCAGAGGUGAAAUUCUUGGAUUUACGGAAAACAAACUACUGCGAAAGCAUUUACCAAGGAUGUUUUCAUUAA
rnacentral:rRNA from 1 species